UACGUAGGGCGCAAGCGCUGUCCGGAAUUAUUGGGCGUAAAGAGCUCGUAGGCGGUUUGUCGCGUCUGCUGUGAAAUCCUCAGGCUCAACCUGGGGCUUGCAGUGGGUACGGGCAGACUAGAGUGCGGUAGGGGUGACUGGAAUUCCUGGUGUAGCGGUGGAAUGCGCAGAUAUCAGGAGGAACACCGAUGGCGAAGGCAGGUCACUGGGCCGCAACUGACGCUGAGGAGCGAAAGCAUGGGGAGCGAACAGG
rnacentral:rRNA from 1 species